CGAAGGAUCCAAGCGUUAUCCGGAUUUAUUGGGUUUAAAGGGUGCGUAGGCGGAUUGAUAAGUCAGUGGUGAAAGCCUGUUGCUUAACAACAGAACUGCCAUUGAUACUGUCAAUCUUGAAUAUGUUUGAUGUGGGCGGAAUAUGACAUGUAGCGGUGAAAUGCUUAGAUAUGUCAUAGAACACCGAUUGCGAAGGCAGCUCACAAAGCCAUUAUUGACGCUGAGGCACGAAAGCGUGGGGAUCAAACAGGAUUAGAUACCCUGGUAGUCCACGCUGUAAACUUUGAUCACUCGCUGUUGGCGAUACACUGUCAGCGGCUAAGCGAAAGCGUUAAGUGAUCCACCUGGGGAUACGAUCGCAAGAUUG
rnacentral:rRNA from 1 species